UAAAAAUCAGAAAACCUAACCUAAUUUCCUCCAACCCUCAACAGCUACCAGCCACACUUCCUUACCCCAACGGUCACACAACAUAGAGCAGAGAAAGAGAUUUACGGGAAGAAGAGAAAGAAGACGCCGCUGCUGUCGCGCUUGACUGCCGCCACCGUCGUCCUCAUCGCGCACCGCCACCAUCUUGCAGGUCGUCAUGCCAAGCCCGUUCCACCACCGUCAACACUGCCACGGAGAAGAGAAUACGACGUCGUAACGCGAGCCAAGGCCGAGAGGAAGGGGACGUCGCUGUGCCUCCAACGCGACCCUUCCGCCGCUGCCAUUGGUAGGGUUCUAUCGCCGCCGUCCAUGGAGCUUCGAUUAGCGCCGUUGUCAUCGCAUACCAGAGGAGAGGAGAGCUCAUGUGUGAAGAGUAGCGCCGCUGUGCCUCCGUUGCGCCUUUAUCACCAUCGAACUGCCUUGCUGUUGCUAGCCUCGUAGCCACUUUUAAGGCUGCGCCGCCGUGCCUCUGGUCGUGGGCGGAGUCCACUCCAAGCUGUCACCAUCGCAGAAUACAUGCCGAGGAGAGGGAGAAAUGAUCUUCGCCGCUGUCAGGGUCGUUGGUGAGUCGUGCACUGUCACCAGAGUCAAACAGCACCAACCUUCUUGUUCUGAUUCUGAUUCUCCUAUUCUUGAACCUGUGAUAGUGUUGGUGAUAAUAAAGAACUGUUAGAGUUGCUGCUA